rnacentral:rRNA from 1 species
UCCGUAGGGUGCAAGCGUUGUCCGGAAUUAUUGGGCGUAAAGAGCUCGUAGGCGGUUUGUCGCGUCUGCUGUGAAAACCCGAGGCUCAACUUCGGGCCUGCAGUGGGUACGGGCAGACUAGAGUGCGGUAGGGGAGAUUGGAAUUCCUGGUGUAGCGGUGAAAUGCGCAGAUAUCAGGAAGAACACCAAUGGCGAAAGCAGCUCUCUGGGACGGUACUGACGCUGAGACGCGAAAGCGUGGGGAGCGAACAGG